rnacentral:rRNA from 1 species
AUGGCCCAAGUCGAGGGGAUGCUUGCCUCGGCAAUCCUCGAGAAUACGGCCAAAAAGCUCAGAUCUGCCAUGGGAGAUGAGUCCAUGAGGCGUCUGAGCGUCGACGGCUGCCUGGAGGAAAUGCUCAAGACGCUGGAGGACAUACGGGCAUCGCUCGAGGGCGCCGAGAUCCCGUCGCCGCAAGGGGACGCCCAGAUCCCGUCGCUGGAGCCGGUGCGCGGGUGGCUGAGGCUGGUCAGAACGAAAGCCUACGCCAUCCAAGACAUGGUCGACGAUGUGCAGGAGACAAGGACACCGACUACUGCUGGAACGAUGUCCAGGAUGCUUCACUACUGCCGUGGGAAGGAGGACCAUCGCAGCGGAAACAAGAUGAAGGAGAUGCAAAAACAACUGAUGGAGUUACACAAGGAGUGGCACAAUUUCGGAUUUGUUCCAUCGGAUGUUGUCAGUGCACUCCAGAAUGAUAUUCAUGUACCAGAAACAACACUAUCUGAGGCUGAUGAACAGGGAUUUGUUGUAGGAAUUGAUCAAGAUAUAAGAUAUAUAGCAGAUAUGUGUCGGGCGGGAGACGUCGGGAAAGCGCCCUUCAUUCUCGCCAUAUUUGGGAUGGGAGGCGUAGGCAAGACAACGUUGGCAAAAUGUGUUUACAACUGUCGUGAGCUCCAAGAGGAAUAUGAUUCUCGGGCAUGGGUCAAUGUGUCAUAUGAAUAUGACAUGCAUAGAAUUGGAGAGUCUAUAAUUUCUCAACUAUCAGGAGAAGCAGAUAUCUUAAAUGGGGAUAUGGAUUACAUGACGAAGCGCCUUGGGGAGCUGUUUAAUGGUAUGAAGACACUACUUGUUCUUGACGAUCUGCAGGAGGAGGAUCCCGUUCAGUUGGAGUGCUUGAAGUGUAUGCUCAGUGGAGGCGACAAGGACAGUAAAGUGACAAUUAUAGUAACCGGACGCAGCCGACACACUGGGAUGAAAAUUGGUGCUCAUGUAUUGUUCAGUAAGGCUUGUUUGACUGAACAGGAUUCCUUUUUCUUACUGAGUUACAAAACUCUUUUCGACCAAAGAACAGACAAUAUAGAGUUGCGCAUGAUAGCACGUAUGGUUUCGUCUAAGUGUAUGGGUGUACCAUUAACAAUUCAUGCAAUUGGGUGGAUUCUACGGUACAGAGACGCUAGAGUAUGGAGAGCGGUGGAAGCCAGUCUUAUCUGGAAAGAUUAUUGUGAAGAUGGGUCGCCUUUAAGCUACAAAAGUAUGCCAGCCAAUUUGAGGUUAUGCUUUGCUUACUGUGGGAUCUUCUCCAAGGGUCAAAUUAUAGUUAAAGAUGACCUGAUUCAUCAAUGGGUCGCUCUCGGCCUCAUUCAGCCGACUGACAUAUUGUCUACCACACAGCUUGCUGAGGAAUAUAUUAGGAGGCUCUUGAGCAUGUCAUUCCUUCAAGCUACAGAUCCGAGCUACAAAGUCUAUAAAUUGUGUUCUCUGUUGCAGGCUAGUGGAAAGGAUGACAUCUUGUUCACUAUGAAUGAUAAGUUUCAUGACUUCGCUAUAUCAGUUAUGUAUAAUGAGUUAUUUAUUCUGGAUGAUAGCAUGCAAACACGUGAUCUGAAUGAAUAUCGCCAUGCAGUGCUCACUAAUCACGGCUUCAGGCCAAGUCAAUUGAGUUUAUUAUCCAGCAUACAGGCGCUGCAUUGUGUGUGCUGUAGCAAAAUGGAGCUCAUUGAUCAGUCGUUUUCAUUUCCAAGGCAUCUUCGUGUCUUGCGAUUGAAGGCGAGCUUCCUUCAGAAGCUACUACCAGAUUCUAUCUGUCAACUAAGGCACUUGGGGUAUCUGAAUUUAGCAGGAUGCUCUGGGCUAGUAACUUUACCAGAAUCAAUUGGGGAUCUAAUAAAUAUGUUUCAUAUCGAUUUAUCGGGCUGUGCCGGACUAGUGAAUCUGCCCCAGUCAUUUGGGGACUUAAUAAAUUUGCUGUAUCUUGAUUUAUCACGGUGCUACAGACUAAUAGAACUUCCAGAGUCAUUCAGCAAUCUAAAGAAGAUGGAGCAUCUGGACUUAUCAUUCUGGUCUUGCUUUAAAGGGAUUGUGGAAGCACUUGGUGGCCUUAUCAAUGUCAAGAGUUUGAACUUAUCAAACCCUUGUUGUCAUCUUGCUGAUCACUGGCCGCAACUCUUGGAGUUAAAAGAUGUUUGGGGCAAACUCCCCAAACUCCGGUAUUUAAAUUUAUCCAUGUUCCUAAAUCCUAUCUUUUACCAACUACCAGAAGAUGAAAGUCUCAACAAUUACCUCGAAUGUAUCAGUGGCCUUUCCAGUCUGGAGUACUUGGACCUAUCUCAUAACAUAUUUCUUGUUGAUCUACCAGAAAGUCUAGCUAAGCUCAAUAAGUUACAUACACUGGAUAUCUCGGGCUGUGCAAGAGUAGAGAGAGUAGACAAAUGGAUGUUUGAGAUGGAGUCUCUGAAGUCGAUUGUUGUAAGGAACUGCCAGGCUCUUGAAGUUUACCAGUUUGUGGUUUGCUCUUAUAGUAACUGGAGCAGCAACUUUGUACAGCUAAAUGACGUAAGUUGUAAGGAGUUGGAGAUAAGCUGCCUUGAGAAAGUGAAGUCUGUGGAGGAAGCACAGAAUGUGACACUGGUGAAGAAACAAGAGCUUGAAACAUUGAAGCUUUGUUGGUCUGUGGAUACUGAAGGACAUGUGGAACACAAUGAUUUAUUUGGGGAAUUGCAGCCGCCACCUAAUCUGCAGUGCCUUGAGCUACAUGGUUAUAAUGGCGAAACCUGCUUCCCAGCAUGGUGGACAUCGUGCAAUCUCCCUAAUCUUGUAAAGGUUAUUAUGGAGGUCCUUCCGAGGUGCUUGAGUCUGCCACCCCUCCGUUUACUACCCAGCCUGCAAGAGCUUGUUCUUAGAAAGAUGGCCAGCAUCACAAGAAUAGACGAUGCCGGCGACUUGAGUGGUGGCAACAGAGUGCCAUUCAAUAAGGUUGAACUAGAUGAUAUGGAUAGCCUGGAAAUGUUCAACACCACAUGGUACACCAAUGAACUGGUGAUUCAGAAAUGCUCCAAAUUGGUACUUGGACCACUCCCGCCUAGAGCUCAGAGGUUGGUGAUAUCAGACUGCGACCAGGUGAUGUCUUCAUGGAGGAACCAAGGUAGCAGACAUGUUGUGGAGGGCCCUUCUACCCCAGUAACUGAACUGGAGGUCCAAAGCUGCAAUGUGCCUCUAGCUGGUUGGAGUUUGCUUCACUACCUUCCUGGACUCCACAAAUUAACUAUCCACAACUGCAACAAUGUGGCUGCUAGCUCACCAGAAGUCUUUCUGGCCCUGUCCUCGCUCCAGUCACUCUGCUUCUCUGCGUGCAACAGCAUGAGCUCACUUCCACAAGAAUUGGGUUGCCUCGCCUCUCUCAAGGAACUGCAGAUCGUGUCCUGCAAACAGCUCACCUGUUUGCCGGAUAGCAUGCAACAACUCACCUCCCUCCAAUCGAUGCAUUUCACGGACUGUGAAAGCAUCACAACACUUCCAGAAUGGAUUGGAAGCCUCAUUUCUCUUCAGGAACUUGUCUUCGAAAAAUGCCAUGCUAUGGAACAGUUGCCGAAGAGCAUCAAUGGACUGAAAAAACUGAAGGGUCCGCGUAUUCUGAACUGCCCACAAUUGAAAAAAUGGUUUAAAUCAGUGGAAGGCUCAGAAAAGUUUGAUAAAAUCAGACCAAACUAUGAAUAA